GGGCCCGCACAAGCGGUGGAGUAUGUGGUUUAAUUCGACGCAACGCGCAGAACCUUACCCGGCCUUGACAUCCUUGGAAUCCUUCCGAAAAGAAGGAGUGUCCCCUCACGGGGAAGCCAAGUGACAGGUGCUGCAUGGCUGUCGUCAGCUCGUGUCGUGAGAUGUUCGGUUAAGUCCGGCAACGAGCGCAACCCCUACCGUUAGUUGCCAGCGAUUCAAGUCGGGGACUCUAACGGGACUGCCGGUGCAAACCGUGAGGAAGGUGGGGACGACGUCAAAUCAUCACGGCCCUUACGUCCUGGCUACACACGUGCUACAAUGGUAUCUACAACAGGAAGCAAGACUGCGAAGUUAAGCA
rnacentral:rRNA from 1 species